rnacentral:rRNA from 1 species
AACGAACGCUGGCGGCAGGCUUAACACAUGCAAGUCGAACGGGCGUAGCAAUACGUCAGUGGCAGACGGGUGAGGAACACGUGGGAAUAUCCCCUUCAGUUCGGAAUAACUCAGGGAAACUUGAGCUAAUACCGGAUACGCCAGAGAUGAGAAAGAUUUAUCGCUGAAGGAUUAGCCCGCGUCUGAUUAGCUAGUUGGUGAGGUAAUGGCUCACCAAGGCUACGAUCAGUAGCUGAUCUGAGAGGAUGAUCAGCCACAUUGGGACUGAGACACGGCCCAAACUCCUACGGGAGGCAGCAGGGGGGAAUAUUGGACAAGGGGCGCAAGCCUGAUCCAGCCAUGCCGCGUGAGUGAUGAAGGCCGUCGGGUUGUAAAGCUCUUUUGUCCGGGAAGAUAAUGACUGUACCGGAAGAAUAAGCCCCGGCAAACUUCGUGCCAGCAGCCGCAGUAA